rnacentral:rRNA from 1 species
GUAGGGAAUAUUGGACAAUGGGGGCAACCCUGAUCCAGCGACGCCGCGUGAGUGAUGAAGGCCUUCGGGUCGUAAAGCUCUGUUGCAGGGGAAGAACACAAUGACGGUACCCUGCUAGAAAGGAUCGGCUAACUUCGUGCCAGCAGCCGCGGUAAGACGAGGGAUCCUAGCGUUGUUCGGAAUUAUUGGGCGUAAAGCGGGUGCAGGUGGCUUGGUAAGUCAGAUGUGAAAGCCUGGGGCUUAACCCCAGAAGUGCAUGUGAUACUGCUGAGCUUGAGUGCUGGAGAGGCUAUUAGAAUUCCUGGUGUAGUGGUGAAAUACGUAGAUAUCAGGAGGAAUACCGGAGGCGAAGGCGGAUAGCUGGCCAGACACUGACACUCAGACCCGAAAGCGUGGGGAUCAAACAGGAUUAGAAACCCGGGUAGUCC